rnacentral:misc_RNA from 1 species
AACGCACAUUGCGCCCUUUGGUAUUCCGAGGGGCAUGCCCGUUCGAGCGUCAUUAAUCCAAAUCAAGCUCGCUUGGUGUUGGGUACCGGGGGCGACCCGGACCUCAAAAACGUUUCCGGCUGAGACACCUCCAAACCAGCGUUGUGACUUUCAAUUCGCGGGCGGAAGGGGUGCGCUACGCCGUUAAACAACCACAAUCACAGGUUGACCUCGGAUCGGGUAAGGAUACCCGCUGAACUUAA